rnacentral:rRNA from 1 species
GAUGAACGCUGGCGGCGUGCCUAAUACAUGCAAGUCGAGCGAACAGACGAGGAGCUUGCUCCUCUGACGUUAGCGGCGGACGGGUGAGUAACACGUGGAUAACCUACCUAUAAGACUGGGAUAACUUCGGGAAACCGGAGCUAAUACCGGAUAAUAUAUUGAACCGCAUGGUUCAAUAGUGAAAGACGGUUUUGCUGUCACUUAUAGAUGGAUCCGCGCCGCAUUAGCUAGUUGGUAAGGUAACGGCUUACCAAGGCAACGAUGCGUAGCCGACCUGAGAGGCUGAUCGGCCACACUGGAACUGAGACACGCUCCAGACUCCUACGGGAGGCAGCAGUAGGGAAUCUUCCGCAAUGGGCGAAAGCCUGACGGAGCAACGCCGCGUGAGUGAUGAAGGUCUUCGGAUCGUAAAACUCUGUUAUUAGGGAAGAACAAAUGUGUAAGUAACUAUGCACGUCUUGACGGUACCUAAUCAGAAAGCCACGGCUAACUACGUG